AACCUUCACAGAUUACAUAAUGCUUUGGUUUUGAAUUGAUUCGUUUAAAAGACAUUUCAAGCUUUCUGUAGAUAUAUUUCUCAUGUAUGUGAGACACCACAAUUUUCAGUUAUUUCAUUAUCAGGAAAAAAAUCACGUGACCGAGAGGGCGCCUCCGUGUCAUGCAUGCGUAAUAAUCUUCGCACAAACAUUUGAAUAUGAAUAAUAAUUCACAUUUUUGCAUAUGCAUUACAAAGCAAAUUUUUUUUACAUGCAAUUAUAAAACCAUACAAGAUUUGUAAUGAAGAUAAAAUAUGUAGACAAAUAAGAAUAAAUGCUGCACGUGCACUCAGCAUCAUGCGCCGAGCAAAUCUUGCACUGAUAUUUUAUGGAAUAUUAUACAAACCUGCAUUUAAAUGUAACUACAAUUUAUUUAUUUUUUUAUUAUUAUUUUUUUUUAACUUAAAUUACAUGAAAGCAAGUAAAGAAGACUGAAGUUGUCAAUUAAUGAAGCUCUUUUUUUACAUUGUGUGUAUUUCGUUGAUUAUAAUGAGAGAACUUGAGUUUAUACUUGAAGACGUUUUAUUAAUCAGUCCAUUCUUUAGAGUUUCAAUGAUUUAGUUAAAUCGUGCAUGUUUAAUUUAUUCGUUUCUUGUUUUAAUUAGGCCUAAAUAAUGGGAGCCAAAUUAUUCAGUGCCUCACGUUUUACUAAAAUAAAGAAAAUAAUUUAUAAAACACGCACGCCUGGCUCACUCUUCUACCACUUUAAAUGUUCCGAUGCAAAGUAAACCACAAUUUCUUUUGAAUAAUAUAACACACAAUUCAUAUUAUAUAAAUAAUACUGCACACUAUUUAAAUGUGUCAAAUCUAAAAUAUGGUGUAGAGAAAAUAUAAGCACAGGCUCAUAGGCUUGAUAUUUAUCCUGCUUGAAUUCGUUCUAAGAAACGCACAUAUCUUCAUAAGGACUAAACUUUCAUCUGUGAAUAUUAAAUAUUUUUUCUUUCAUUUUCCCUGACUGCAGCCGUCAAAUGUAACAUCAGCGAGGCAAAGCUGAUGGCUAUUUGCGAAAAUGUGCUUUGAUGCGCUUGUUUGAAAACUUGUGGUUAAAGCGCCACUCAGCAGUCAAAAGCUGCAAAUGCACUUUGCAGAUGCUGCGGCGGCGGUACGAGCGGUGGUAGAACCAACGUUUUAGAUGGCCACCUACUGUAUGAGGUAAUUAAAGAAGCAAUACCCAAAGAGUGGAUAAAACAAAUAGAAAACAUGGAAGAAGAGAAGCAAGAGAAAGAAGUGUUUGUAAAUUUGGGAGAAAAAUUGUAUGCUUUUAAAGAAUGUAUGGUGAAAAUGUUUUAUUGUUUCUUUAGAGAGGG
rnacentral:lncRNA from 1 species